rnacentral:lncRNA from 1 species
GAGAGAGAGAGAGAGAGAGAGAGAGAGAGAGAGGUAUACGAGUGUUGGAAGCGGUUGCAGCACUUGGAGCAGCGGAAGAGCUUAUCGGGGAAGCCAACAUCGCCGCACAUACAACACACUGUCUGGAGAUCCACCAUUUUUCUUUUUUCUUUUUUUCUUUUUUUUUUUCUGGAAGGCACUAGAAGAAAGAAAAUAAAACACACACACACAGUAGGAAAUUAAAGAGAAAUAAAUAGAAAAGGGAAAACUGUAGUACUGAUAUAUAUAUUUUCAAGUCGGUGUGAGAUCAAUCU